ACGAACGCUGGCGGCGUGCUUAACACCUGCAAGUCGAACGGUGAAGCGCCUUCCUUUUUGGUGGGUGUGGAUGAGUGGCGAACGGGUGAGUAACACGUGAGUAACCUGCCCCCUUCUUCUGGAUAACCGCAUGAAAGUGUGGCUAAUACGGGAUAUUCUGGGUCUGUCGCAUGAUGGGUCUGAGAAAGAUAUUGUUUCGGUGGGGGAUGGGCUCGCGGCCUAUCAGCUUGUUGGUGGGGUGAUGGCCUACCAAGGCGGUGACGGGUAGCCGGCCUGAGAGGGUGGACGGUCACACUGGGACUGAGACACGGCCCAGACUCCUACGGGAGGCAGCAGUGGGGAAUAUUGCACAAUGGGCGCAAGCCUGAUGCAGCGACGCCGCGGGAGGGAUGGAGGCCUUCGGGUUGUGAACCUCUUUCGCCAGUGAAGCAGGCCUGCCUCGUUUGUGGGUGGGUUGACGGUAGCUGGAUAAGAAGCGCCGGCUAACUACGUG
rnacentral:rRNA from 1 species